rnacentral:rRNA from 1 species
CGGUUAAGUUAGAAAGGGCGCACGGUGGAUGCCUUGGCACUAGGAGCCGAUGAAGGACGGGACGAACACCGAUAUGCUUCGGGGAGCUGUAAGCAAGCUUUGAUCCGGAGAUUUCCGAAUGGGGAAACCCACCACUCGUAAUGGAGUGGUAUCCAUAUCUGAAUACAUAGGAUAUGAGAAGGCAGACCCGGAGAACUGAAACAUCUAAGUACCCGGAGGAAGAGAAAGCAAAUGCGAUUCCCUGAGUAGCGGCGAGCGAAACGGGACCAGCCCAAACCAAGAGGCUUGCCUCUUGGGGUUGUAGGACACUCUGUACGGAGUUACAAAGGAACGAGGUAGAUGAAGAGGUCUGGAAAGGCCCGCCAUAGGAGGUAACAGCCCUGUAGUCAAAACUUCGUUCUCUCCUGAGUGGAUCCUGAGUACGGCGGAACACGUGAAAUUCCGUCGGAAUCCGGGAGGACCAUCUCCCAAGGCUAAAUACUCCCUAGUGACCGAUAGUGAACCAGUACCGUGAGGGAAAGGUGAAAAGCACCCCGGAAGGGGAGUGAAAGAGAUCCUGAAACCGUGUGCCUACAAGUAGUCAGAGCCCGUUAACGGGUGAUGGCGUGCCUUUUGUAGAAUGAACCGGCGAGUUACGAUCCCGUGCAAGGUUAAGCAGAAGAUGCGGAGCCGCAGCGAAAGCGAGUCUGAAUAGGGCGAAUUGAGUACGUGGUCGUAGACCCGAAACCAGGUGAUCUACCCAUGUCCAGGGUGAAGUUCAGGUAACACUGAAUGGAGGCCCGAACCCACGCACGUUGAAAAGUGCGGGGAUGAGGUGUGGGUAGGGGUGAAAUGCCAAUCGAACCUGGAGAUAGCUGGUUCUCUCCGAAAUAGCUUUAGGGCUAGCCUCAAGGUAAGAGUCUCGGAGGUAGAGCACUGAUUGGACUAGGGGCCCCUACCGGGUUACCGAAUUCAGUCAAACUCCGAAUGCCGAUGACUUAUCCUUGGGAGUCAGACUGCGAGUGAUAAGAUCCGUAGUCGAAAGGGAAACAGCCCAGACCGCCAGCUAAGGUCCCAAAGUAUACGUUAAGUGGAAAAGGAUGUGGAGUUGCUUAGACAACCAGGAUGUUGGCUUAGAAGCAGCCACCAUUUAAAGAGUGCGUAAUAGCUCACUGGUCGAGUGACUCUGCGCCGAAAAUGUACCGGGGCUAAACGUAUCACCGAAGCUGCGGACUGUUCUUCGAACAGUGGUAGGAGAGCGUUCUAAGGGCUGUGAAGCAAGACCGGAAGGACUUGUGGAGCGCUUAGAAGUGAGAAUGCCGGUAUGAGUAGCGAAAGAGGGGUGAGAAUCCCCUCCACCGAAUGCCUAAGGUUUCCUGAGGAAGGCUCGUCCGCUCAGGGUUAGUCGGGACCUAAGCCGAGGCCGAAAGGCGUAGGCGAUGGAUAACAGGUUGAUAUUCCUGUACCACCUCCUCACCAUUUGAGCAAUGGGGGGACGCAGGAGGAUAGGGUAAGCGCGGUAUUGGAUAUCCGCGUCCAAGCAGUUAGGCUGGGAAAUAGGCAAAUCCGUUUCCCGUGAAGGCUGAGCUGUGAUGGCGAGCGAAUUAUAGUAGCGAAGUUCCUGAUUCCACACUGCCAAGAAAAGCCUCUAGCGAGGUGAGAGGUGCCCGUACCGCAAACCGACACAGGUAGGCGAGGAGAGAAUCCUAAGGUGAUCGAGAGAACUCUCGUUAAGGAACUCGGCAAAAUGACCCCGUAACUUCGGGAGAAGGGGUGCUCUGUUAGGGUGCAAGCCCGAGAGAGCCGCAGUGAAUAGGCCCAGGCGACUGUUUAGCAAAAACACAGGUCUCUGCGAAGCCGUAAGGCGAAGUAUAGGGGCUGACGCCUGCCCGGUGCUGGAAGGUUAAGAGGAGCGCUUAGCGUAAGCGAAGGUGCGAAUUGAAGCCCCAGUAAACGGCGGCCGUAACUAUAACGGUCCUAAGGUAGCGAAAUUCCUUGUCGGGUAAGUUCCGACCCGCACGAAAGGCGCAACGAUCUGGGCACUGUCUCAACGAGAGACUCGGUGAAAUUAUAGUACCUGUGAAGAUGCAGGUUACCCGCGACAGGACGGAAAGACCCCGUGGAGCUUUACUGCAGCCUGAUAUUGAAUGUUGGUACAGCUUGUACAGGAUAGGUAGGAGCCUUGGAAACCGGAGCGCCAGCUUCGGUGGAGGCAUCGGUGGGAUACUACCCUGGCUGUAUUGACCUUCUAACCCGCCGCCCUUAUCGGGCGGGGAGACAGUGUCAGGUGGGCAGUUUGACUGGGGCGGUCGCCUCCUAAAAGGUAACGGAGGCGCCCAAAGGUUCCCUCAGAAUGGUUGGAAAUCAUUCGCAGAGUGUAAAGGCACAAGGGAGCUUGACUGCGAGACCUACAAGUCGAGCAGGGACGAAAGUCGGGCUUAGUGAUCCGGUGGUUCCGCAUGGAAGGGCCAUCGCUCAACGGAUAAAAGCUACCCCGGGGAUAACAGGCUUAUCUCCCCCAAGAGUCCACAUCGACGGGGAGGUUUGGCACCUCGAUGUCGGCUCAUCGCAUCCUGGGGCUGUAGUCGGUCCCAAGGGUUGGGCUGUUCGCCCAUUAAAGCGGUACGCGAGCUGGGUUCAGAACGUCGUGAGACAGUUCGGUCCCUAUCCGUCGCGGGCGCAGGAAAUUUGAGAGGAGCUGUCCUUAGUACGAGAGGACCGGGAUGGACGCACCGCUGGUGUACCAGUUGUUCUGCCAAGGGCAUCGCUGGGUAGCUAUGUGCGGACGGGAUAAGUGCUGAAAGCAUCUAAGCAUGAAGCCCCCCUCAAGAUGAGAUUUCCCAUUCCGCAAGGAAGUAAGAUCCCUGAAAGAUGAUCAGGUUGAUAGGUCUGAGGUGGAAGUGUGGCGACACAUGGAGCUGACAGAUACUAAUCGAUCGAGGACUUAACCAA